rnacentral:rRNA from 1 species
AACGUAGGUGGCAAGCGUUAUCCGGAUUUACUGGGCGUAAAGGGUGUGCAGGCGGUGCGACAAGUGGUGUAUUAAAUCUCCCAGCUUAACUGGGAUAGGUUAUGCCAGACUGUCGUUCUAGAGGACGAGAGAGGGGGGUGGAAUUCCGGGUGUAGUGGUGAAAUGCGUAGAGAUCCGGAGGAACCCCAGAGGCGAAGGCGGCCCCCUGGGUCGUACCUGACUCUCAGCCACGAAAGCAUGGGGAGCGAACGGG